rnacentral:rRNA from 1 species
UGGGGGCAACCCUGAUCCAGCAAUGCAGCGUGAGUGACGAAGGCCUUAGGGUUGUAAAACUCUUUCAUCGGUGAGGAUAAUGACAGUAGCCGAAGAAGAAGGACCGGCUAAUUCCGUGCCAGCAGCCGCGGUAAUACGGAAGGUCCUAGCGUUGUUCGGAAUUACUGGGCGUAAAGCGCAUGUAGGCGGAACAGAAAGUUAGAAGUGAAAUCCCUGGGCUCAACCUAGGAAUUGCUUUUAAAACUUCUGUUCUGGAAUUCAGGAGAGGAAAAUGGAAUAUCCAGUGUAGAGGUGAAAUUCGUAGAUAUUGGAUGGAACACCAGUGGCGAAGGCGAUUUUCUGGACUGAUAUUGACGCUGAGAUGCGAAGGCAUGGGUAGCAAACGGGAUUAGAUACCCCGGUAGUCCAUGCAGUAAACGAUGGGUGCUAGUCGUCGGACUUAUGUUCGGUGUCGUAGCUAACGCGUUAAGCACCCCGCCUGGGGAGUACGGUCGCAAGAUUAAAACUCAAAUAAAUUGACGGGGACCCGCACAAGCAGUGGAGCAUGUGGUUUAAUUCGACGCAACGCGAAGAACCUUACCAGCGUUUGACAUGGGAAGUGCCGGUUACAGAAUGGUAACCUUCAGUUCGGCUGGCUUCCACACAGGUGCUGCAUGGCUGUCGUCAGCUCGUGUCGUGAGAUGUUGGGUUAAGUCCCGCAACGAGCGCAACCCUUAUCGUUAGUUACUAACAGUUCGGCUGAGGACUCUAGCGAAACUGCCGGUGAUAAGCCGGAGGAAGGUGGGGAUGACGUCAAGUCCUCAUGGCCCUUACACGCUGGGCUACACACGUGCUACAAUGGUAACUACAACGGGACGCAAUACCGCGAG